rnacentral:rRNA from 1 species
UUCUGGCUCAGAACGAACGCUGGUGGCGUGUUUAUACAUGCAAGUCGAGCGAGGACAGUAGCUUGCUACUGAGCCGAGCGGCGAACGGGUGAGUAACGCGUAAGCAAUCUGCCCCACAAUCGGGAACAACCGUGCCAACGCGCGGCUAAUGCCGGAUAUUGUGUCCUACUGCAUAGUAGGUUAACGAAAGAUUUAUCGUUGUGGGAUGAGCUUGCGUCCGAUUAGCUAGUUGGUAGGGUAGAGGCCUACCAAGGCAACGAUCAGUAGCCGGCCUGAGAGGGUGGACGGCCACACUGGGACUGAGAACGGCCCAGACUCCUACGGGAGGCAGCAGUGGGGAAUAUUGCGCAAUGGGGGAAACCCUGACGCAGCGACGCCGCGUGAGCGAAGAAGGCCUUCGGGUUGUAAAGCUCUGUUGUAAGGGACGAAUGUCUAGGGUAGUAACUGACCUUAGAAUGACGGUACCUUACCAGCAACGCCCCGGCUAACUACGUGCCAGCAGCGGC